UCCUUCUACGCGGCCCCGCCCAUUCCCUGAUUUCUCGGAUGGAUUGCAACUAAUCAUGAUUCAUUCCCCGAUUCUUCUUUCUCCAUGCCCCUAAUUCCCUCAAGAAAAAGAAAGAACGGAUCCACCAUCGCUUCUCCCUUCCCCUACCUCUGAAUCUGCCCCGAGUUACCCUGCCUCCGGUGGCCGCCCGCGCUCUUGCAAGCCGCCUACGGCCUCCUCUGCAGGACGCCAUGGCCACGGAUUAAAGCUCCGUCGGACUUUCGCUCGCGACUGCCGGCCUUCUUCACGACCAGAUCGACGACGGGGACGACCGGAUCUGCCCCGCCACCUUUCAUUUCUGCCUCGCCUAGCAGCACUGCGCAUCUGCCCCACCUCCCCAGCCAGCGCAGCCGCCCCUCCGUGUCUGAGUCCCUGUGCUGGCCAGUGGCCACGCCCACCGCCUGCCCAGCACCGCUCUCCCGUUGCCUUAAACAAUCCAGCUCCACCACUAAUCCAUGCCCCUGCCCCGCGACUGAAGAGGAUCAGGUGACAAAUGUAACAAUUUAUUUGAAUCAAAUGUGAUUUUUCAAUUGUAAAUGUACGAUAGUGCCAAUGUUUAUUCUAUCUGUGUAUCAUCUUCUGUUUACUUCACACGUCUAUUGCACAAUAUCCCAUUUCUGAAUGUUAUGUCUCGAUUUCACAUGCAGUUCAUAUAUUGCAUUGUAAUAACACUUUAUUUCUAACUUAUAAAUCGGAAUGUAACAGGUUCAUUGUAAAUCUGUGACAUUCAUUCUAUAUGAAAUAUGAUAUAUCAGCUUCAGACAAAGAAGUUCAACCUACCACCUUAUUUUCUUGUUAAUGUAUUUUAGUCAAGCUAUCUUAAGUGACUUGUUCCGGCGACGGUCAAGAACUAUCCUGGACAAUGUUAAACAUAGAUAGCAAUGCAUAUUUGCCCUGUUCCACAUGCAUUACAGUUAUGUUGGAUCCUUCUGAAUUUCAUAGAAGCACAAGCUGCUAGCAUAGCGGUGUGCAGGGGGGAGGCCUUGAGCAGACAGGUGACUGUGUCGCUGGGGCAGCGGAUAUGAGGCAUAUCUGCAGGCACCAGAUGGUAGGCAAGAGGCACAUGGCAGUGUGGCGAGCCAGUGGCUUGCUGCUGUUGCGAGAGGGCUACCUAGAAGAUGGACAUGAAGAAUAUGGUGCCAGCAAUGGCAAAGGGGAAGGCAGGGAGUGGUAAAGUGAAAGGUUUGACAAGAUACUUUGGCUUAGUAUACGAGAUAUAGAUACUCCACAACAUGUGUAUGGUCGCGUAACUCUUGGUUCUCCUAAAUCAGCCUUCGAUCACAUGAAGGUAUACCCCGGUGCAGGUUUGUGAUAAGAUCGGAUUUGAGGUGUAUUUAUAACGAUCACAUAAAUGAAAGGCUACAGGAAGAUUUUGGAAAUGGCAAUGGUGUCAACAAAGACAUGAGACAAGAGCUUGGACUGGCGGCAUCGACUGAAAAAUCAUCCCAACCAUCUUGGAGACAGCCAGGCAGGUGUUGCGAGCUGUGAUGCCUGAGGCACCCGCCGAGAAAAUGGGGUUCGACAUGAUGAUCAAGGAAGCGCAGGAAACAGAGAAACCGAAAUUAUGUUUGCAAGAUGGUUAUCAUAUAUUCUAAUUCAGACACAACCGAUGAUACAACAACGCUCUUCGCCAAAUUCUAAUUCAGUCGAGCGUAUCUUAGCUUGGGACCAUGCCCGUGCAACAGUUUUUGUCAUCUUCAUGCCCCAUAUAAGUUGCUUCUGUCAUGCAUAGAAGACAAAGACGCCACCGACAGCAGCGACACACAUAGUGAGGUCAUUGCCCGACAGGAUUUUUCUUUGAGCUGCCUGGAGACUUGCUUUGAGCUACUAGGAGACAUCCAGUGUUGGUGUAUUCUCCCUUCAUUUCCCUUGUUUUUUCAUUGAAAAUCUGAACAUAUGUAGUUGAUUUCCAGAUUUCGAUCGCCCUACAAUAUUUUUGACUUAGUUAUUUGUACAUAGUACGAGCUUGAAUAUUGAAUAAGCAGAUCUAUUAAAUAUAUAAAUAGAAUUUUGUGCAUUA